rnacentral:rRNA from 1 species
CCCGCCUGCCCUGUGACUAUAUGUUUAACGGCCGCGGUAUUUUGACCGUGCAAAGGUAGCGCAAUCACUUGUCUUUUAAAUGGAGACCUGUAUGAAUGGCAAGACGAGGGCUAAGCUGUCUCCUUUUCCAAGUCAGUGAAAUUGAUCUCCCCGUGCAGAAGCGGGGAUGUCAUCAUAAGACGAGAAGACCCUAUGGAGCUUUAGACACUAGACAGCCCACGUCUAACAACCUUUAAUAAAAGCGAGAACUUAGUGGCGCCUUGUUUAAUUGUCUUCGGUUGGGGCGACCGCGGGGGACAAACCAGCCCCCAUGUGGAGUGGGAGUAGCCUCCUGCAGCCAAGAAAGACCUUUCUAAGCAACAGAAAUUCUGACCAAAAAUGAUCCGGCAAUGCCGAUCAACGGACCCAGUUACCCUAGGGAUAACAGCGCAAUCCUCUCCCAGAGUCCCUAUCGACGAGGGGGUUUACGACCUCGAUGUUGGAUCAGGACAUCCUAACGGUGCAGCCGCUGUUAAGGG